UACGAAGGGGGCUAGCGUUGCUCGGAAUCACUGGGCGUAAAGCGCACGUAGGCGGCUUACUAAGUCAGGGGUGAAAUCCUGGAGCUCAACUCCAGAACUGCCUUUGAUACUGGUGAGCUUGAGUCCGGAAGAGGUGAGUGGAACUGCGAGUGUAGAGGUGAAAUUCGUAGAUAUUCGCAAGAACACCAGUGGCGAAGGCGGCUCACUGGUCCGGUACUGACGCUGAGGUGCGAAAGCGUGGGGAGCAACCAGG
rnacentral:rRNA from 1 species